GACGAACGCUGGCGGCGUGCCUAAUACAUGCAAGUUGAGCGCUGAAAGUUGGUACUUGUACCGACUGGAUGAGCAGCGAACGGGUGAGUAACGCAUGGGGAAUCUGCCUUUGAGCGGGGGACAACAUUUGGAAACGACUGCUAAUACCGCAUAAAACCUUUAAACACAAGUAUUAAGUUUGAAAGAUGCAAUUGCAUCACUCAAAGAUGAUCCCGCGGUGUAUUAGCUAGUUGGUGAGGUAAAGGCUCACCAAGGCGAUGAUACAUAGGCGAGCUGAGAGGGAGGACGGCCACAGUGGGACUUGAAAACGGCCCAAACUCCCUCGGGAGGCAGGAGUAGGGAAACAUCGGAAAUGGACGAAAGGCUGACCGCGCAACUCCGCGGGAGUGAAGAAGGUUUUCGGAUCGUAAAACUCUGUUUGUAGAGAAGAACGUGGGGGAGAGUGGAAAGCUCAUCAAGUGACGGUAACUACCCAGAAAGGGACGGCUAACUACGUG
rnacentral:rRNA from 1 species